GAGCGGACAUUAGCGUGGACUAUCAGAGGUUAGAAGCCUAUAAAAUACAUAAAAACAUAUAUUUAUCUAAUUAUUACAUAUACCUGUAAAACAACAGCUGCUGACUUUUAAUCAGUGGGUCACAGGUUCAAAUCCUGUACGGCUCACCA
rnacentral:tRNA from 1 species